AGAAACGUAGGGUACAAUACAGUACACUAUACGUUGCUUUUAUUUAAUUUACCGUAGUCUAGUGUGCUCUACUGGAUUGUGCUGUACUCUACUUUACUGUACUAUACUAUACUUUUUUGUACUACUGUGUACUCCAAUGUACUUUACUAUGCUGUGCCUGACGUCAAAUGCUUAGUGGGUGGUUCAUACUCCUCCAACCCAGCACAUUUAUGAAAUCAUGUAGUGGUUAACCAAGAAGUGUUUUUAAAGGAGAUGACUGAUGUUUAGAGUAUACUAUAAACUGAACUAGCUCUGAGAAUAUUUUCCCAAUGAAAGGUUUUACUAGUUCCACUGGUUUUGCUGCUCUGUCAGUUAGGAGCACCUGAGAGUUUUCUAAGUGAAGACGCAUCCUCUGACAAAAAGACAGCACUCCAACCUGACAUCUAGUCUGAGCUGAGAAAUCUGAGAGACAUGGUGGUGCUGCAGAGAGCAGAGCUGAGACGCACCAUGGCUGAACUACGAGACACUAAGUACCAGAUGGAGGGGCUGGAAACAGGUGGUAACAGAAUACUAUGUCCAGUUUGCCCACUACCAGCUGACUGAGUAAGUUAUACUCGGAUGAAUUUCCAUUGUUGACAUGAAAAUAAUUGUAUUUUGUUUUAGUAAUGGAGUCCAGGCUGAUGAGUUCUGAAGGACAACUUGAGGCAUUGUCAUUAUGUUGGUAAUGAUCAAGAAUAUAAUGUUUUCCCCUGUUGCAAAUGUGUGUGUAAUUUCUGUAACUCCCGCCAUAGUGAGCAGACUAACAUCCGCUGAGAGUGAGGUUGAGAGACUACAGAAGGAGACCGCAGAGAGACCUACGGUUGCAUUUUCAACCUCUUUUGGAAAAACUGGACAGCAUGGGCCAUUCCACACUGUCACCACCGUGUUCUUCCAAGAACAUAUUCUCAAACACUGGCAACCACUACAGCCAAGCUACAGGUGUCUUCACAACCCCGGUGAGAGGGGCCUACUACUCCAUCUUCACUAUUGGUGCAUAUCUCCAUUCCACUGUUAUGGGCCUAACACUGUUCAAGAAUUGACAACAAGUUAUUCAUACAGGGGAGUGGGGUAACCAUGGGCAGUUUAGGUAUGCAUCCAAUACCGUCAUACUACAGCUGGAGGUGGGAGAUGUCGUUUUUAUUCUACCUUUUAUGCAAACUACAGGAUCUUUGAUGAUUUACCUCAUUGUAACACUUGGUUCUCUGCUCUAUCCUGUGUGAGAAAGUUAACAUGUAUUUUAAUGAUGACAUCAGUAAAGUGCUUCUGACCACACACACACACACACACACACACACACACACACACACACACACACACACACACACACACACACACACACACACACACACACUUUUCAACAACACAUGCUGCAAUAUUCACUUUGACCAGUUGGGGGUAGUAGAUUCCCACAGUUGUUUGUGUGUUCUUUGAUCAAAGGGGGAUGGAUACAGUCAACACAGACGUAUUAUGUGAAUGUUUUGAUGAAUUAAAAUUAUCCAACCAUUUCAGGUUAUAGGUAUUUGGGGUAUUUUUAGCCAAGUGAAGUUAAAUAGAAUCAUAUAGAAUGAUUUUCAACGUUACAGUUAGAAAAUAUUUACAAGUACAACAACAAUGUACUGUAAUAUUGGCCUGCCCAGUCUGGUUUAAUGCAUGUUUUAGAUUGUUUUGUUUAAUUUUAGAAAUAAGCAAUUACGUAUAGGCCUAUACUUCACUAUGUUAACACA